rnacentral:rRNA from 1 species
AGUGAACGCUGGCGGUAGGCCUAACACAUGCAAGUCGAACGGCAGCACAGGAGAGCUUGCUCUCUGGGUGGCGAGUGGCGGACGGGUGAGGAAUACAUCGGAAUCUACUUUGUCGUGGGGGAUAACGCAGGGAAACUUGCGCUAAUACCGCAUACGACCUACGGGUGAAAGCAGGGGAUCUUCGGACCUUGCGCGAUUGAAUGAGCCGAUGUCGGAUUAGCUAGUUGGCGGGGUAAAGGCCCACCAAGGCGACGAUCCGUAGCUGGUCUGAGAGGAUGAUCAGCCACACUGGAACUGAGACACGGUCCAGACUCCUACGGGAGGCAGCAGUGGGGAAUAUUGGACAAUGGGCGCAAGCCUGAUCCAGCCAUACCGCGUGGGUGAAGAAGGCCUUCGGGUUGUAAAGCCCUUUUGUUGGGAAAGAAAAGCAGCCGGUUAAUACCCGGUUGUUCUGACGGUACCCAAAGAAUAAGCACCGGCUAACUUCGUGCCAGCAGCCGCAGUAACAC